AUUGAACGCUGGCGGCAUGCCUUACACAUGCAAGUCGAACGGCAGCACGGGAGCAAUCCUGGUGGCGAGUGGCGAACGGGUGAGUAAUAUAUCGGAACGUGCCCAGUCGUGGGGAUAACGUAGCGAAGCUACGCUAAUACCGCAUACGAUCUACGGAUGAAAGCGGGGGAUCGCAAGACCUCGCGCGAUUGGAGCGGCCGAUAUCAGAUUAGGUAGUUGGUGAGGUAAAGGCUCGACCAAGCCGACGAUCUGUAGCUGGUCUGAGAGGACGACCAGCCACACUGGGACUGAGACACGGCCCAGACUCCUACGGAGGCAGCAGUGGGA
rnacentral:rRNA from 1 species